rnacentral:rRNA from 1 species
GAUGAACGCUGGCGGCGUGCCUAAUACAUGCAAGUCGAGCGAACAGACGAGGAGCUUGCUCCUUUGACGUUAGCGGCGGACGGGUGAGUAACACGUGGGUAACCUACCUAUAAGACUGGGAUAACUUCGGGAAACCGGAGCUAAUACCGGAUAAUAUUUCGAACCGCAUGGUUCGAUAGUGAAAGAUGGCUUUGCUAUCACUUAUAGAUGGACCUGCGCCGUAUUAGCUAGUUGGUAAGGUAACGGCUUACCAAGGCAACGAUACGUAGCCGACCUGAGAGGGUGAUCGGCCACACUGGAACUGAGACACGGUCCAGUCUCCUACGGGAGGCAGCAGUAGGGAAUCUUCCGCAAUGGGCGAAAGCCUGACGGAGCAACGCCGCGUGAGUGAUGAAGGUCUUCGGAUCGUAAAACUCUGUUAUUAGGGAAGAACAAACGUGUAAGUAACUGUGCACGUCUUGACGGUACCUAAUCAGAAAGCCACGGCUAACUACGUG